GCUUGCGCCUGCGCGCGGAGCCCAGCGCGGAGACGCGCUCCGGAUCGCAGUCAGGUUCAGGCCAAGCUCGUAGCACGCGCCUGCGCAUUAACCGCCCCCGCCUCCUUUUCCCGCCGACCCAGGGGGCGUGGGCAGGGCCGGGCAGGGCGCACGCGCAGUGAGUCUCGAGCGCGCGGCGGGCAACAGGGUCUGAAGUUCUUUACAGCUGCCCGGCCGGAGUGGGUUUUCAUGCUCCUGCUUUCCGAUUGUUUUCCGGCUCUGCCCCCCGAGGCUGGAGCGUGGACAGUGGAGGGCUCCGCAACAAAGGCCUUUUUCUAGAUUAAAAGGACACCUUGCCCAGACUCUGCCUGUAGAAUUCAUCACUUCCAGCCAGGUGACUUGGAGUUAAUUAAAACAUGGAAAGAAGACAAACUCCAACCAAGCUGGAAAGGCCCUUAUCAAAUGCUCCUGACCACUGAGACAGCUGUGUGCACUGCUGAAAGGUUGUACUCAUACACAAGUCAAGGGGCCAAUAAAAGAGACCUCAAAAGGAAGGGAAAGGACCAAUGAGCAGCCUUUAAAGGUGACGGGUCAGCCAAGUGGCAAAUAGCCAGGCAAUCAGAGAGUACUCUGCCAUGAGAAGGAGGGACGCCCUGACGCUCCACAUGGACGGACCCUGAGAAACGAUGCUCGGGAGGAGUAGCAGACACAGAAGGACACACAGGCUGUGACUCCACGGCUGGGAAGCGUCCUGAACAGGCAGAUCCAUGGAGACAGAGAGGGGAGAAAUCUAAAGGGAUAAUGUGGUGCCCAACCACACAGUCUGGACUAUACACCCAGAUGCGCCAUCUCAGAACCCACCUACCCUCGGUGAUGUCUAACUGCUGUGACAGCGAGAAAAGCAGCAGAAAGGGACGAGACAGGAGGGGACCCACAAUGUGAAUACCACCCGUGACAGUAAUGGAACUCAGGGGGCAUCACCCCGGAGUCCAAGCAUCCACAACCCGAUCAGAUCAGUCAGCGCGUGCCAGCCGCAGCCAUCAAAUCAUCUCCUGUGUGAACACCUCUCCCCUUGCUCCCGGCUGCGGAGGCUCCUCACCAUCUUGGCUUUGGCGCUGCUCGGUUCAAAGCAAUGUUUGCUCAGAGAAUCUUUUGAAAAGUUAACAAGCCUCAGUUUAUCUUUUAACAGGUUGAAACUGUUGUUACUUGCGAGUCAGUAAAGACAACUGACAACAAA